AUUUAUUUGGUACGUGUCAGUUUCAUGUCAAGUUUCAUAACCUUAUUUUCAAAGCAAAAAAAUCAUCAAUUUAUUUACUUAAUGCGACAUCGGAGUUUUUCGAGUUUUCCGAUAAAAACUAUGCAGCAUUUCACGAAAAGCCAGGAUUAUGAAGCGUGCAUUGAAGCUUUAAAUAGUUUACAAACUAAUGCCCAGUAUAUUAAAGCAAAAACAACUACUUCAGGGGAUGAUAAUCAUAAUGGUGAUCAACUUUUUCAAGUGAGGAAAUAUCUGAACAGGGCUGGGUUAUCUUUGGACAAAUUGGAUGAACUAUCGGUAAUCCAUGUUGCCGGAACUAAAGGGAAGGGAACGACAUGUGCGUUCUCUGAAAAAAUUCUAAGGGAGCAUGGAUACAGAACAGGGUUUUUCUCCUCACCUCACUUAAUAGAAGUGCGAGAAAGAAUUCGUAUCAACGGAGUACCUAUAGGCAAAGCAGAUUUUGUAAAGUACUUUUGGAAAAUUUACUCUGCUCUAGACCAGCAAAAGAGUGAUAACCAUGACAUGCCUCUUUAUUUUCGGUUUUUAACCAUAAUGGCUUUUUUUGUCUUUUUGGAGAAAAAAGUCGAUGUGGCUAUUAUUGAAGUGGGGAUUGGAGGAGAGUUUGAUUGCACUAACGUAUUAAGGAAAGUUCCUGUAAUAGGCAUAACGUCUCUAGGGAUUGAUCACGUGAAGUUAUUAGGACCCACUAUAGAAAAAAUAGCGUGGAAUAAAGGGGGGAUUAUGAAAGAAGGCUGUAGAGCUUUUACAGUUCCUCAGCCAGAGACGGCUAUGAAGACUCUCAAAGAACGUAGCAUCGAAAAAAAGUGUCAACUUGAAGUGAUAGAAAAUUCAGAUAUUAAAUUUACGCCAAACACAUCGUCUUGUCCACCCCACAUCUUAAAUCUUAACGUUAGUUUAGCAGUAGCUCUGUGUAGGGCGUGGCUUGCAAUAAAACACAAUAACAACUUAACUCAAUCUAUGUCAAAUGAAAUCACUGAACGAGCUCUUCACAACUGUAGGUGGCCUGGAAGAUUCCAAGUUAAACAUGACAGAACAAUAUCUUAUUACUUAGACGGUGCACAUACUCUUGAAAGUAUUAUCAUAUGUGCUAGCUGGUUUAAAGACAUAACAAAACACUCAAAGAGGAAGAAAGCGUUGAUGUUUAACGUUACUGGGGACAGAAAUGCAGAAAAGUUAUUAAAGCAACUACAGAGUUGUGAAUUUGACACUAUUUUAUUUGUCACGAAUGUUGCAACUCCUAUUAAAGCUCUCAGUAAUUCUGGUGAGUUAGUUGUUUUAAAGCAUUAUCGUGUUACUGCCGGCGAGAGGGUUCUAUCUUUUAGUAUUCCAGACAAUACAUAUUUUAAGUCCAUAGAUGAAUUGCUGCAAAAAUGUAGUUUUCACAAACAGUUGUGGUUAAAAAUAGAAGGGCGGAAAGAAGCGGAGAUUUGUGAAACAUUUCCGACCGUGGAACAAGGAAUUACAUUUCUUUCAAAUAGAGAAGAGUAUGAUCUACUGGUUACUGGGUCGGUCCAAUUAAUAGGAAGUUUAUUAAGCAUAAUUGAUCCUCACUUAAAUGACUAUAGUUGGUGACAAAUAUUAAGUAAGGUGUAAAUAGUUAGCUUUUAUAGAAUGCGCAACGUUUACUUAAGCAUUUCGUUGAAUCUUCAUAUCUUGAUUAAACACACACCUGUACAUGUUAUGUGGAAUAUAUGUAAACAAAGAAUUUAUUUUAUUAAAGUAUGAGUAAGUGUAAUAAUUUUUUUAUUAUCUUUAAAAAAAUAUAGAGAUCACGUCAUCACGGAUAAUAUGGGCGCGAAAAUUCCAUAGGCAAUUAUUUCAGAUAUGAAAACUGGAUUCCAGGGAGUACAAGAAACUACUAGAAACCAAAAUAGUCUGCCAUUUUCGUCUUGGAUAAGAAAAGGACAGAAAAAUCUUUGCCAAUGGGAUAGGUUUUACCCCUGCGAAAAUCGUGUAUUUAAUCCAAAUUGUAACCUCGAUUCUAUUCUACAGAGUACUUAAAUAAAGAGGAUGGCGUUAGCAA